CUGAUACUCAAUUUCCAUUGCAUUAGAAAUUGAUUUUGAAAAAUAACAUUGCUGAUAGCAUGUGGUACAAAUAAACUGCUUAAGAUUGGAUUCAUAUGCAAUAUAUAUCCAAGAUUAUAUUUAGUAACUAAGAAACAAACGUUAUAGAUCAGCACAUGUAGCUUAAGAAUAGUAACUGCUUUCAUUUAACUUUAUGGAUUAUAUAGUGAUAAGUGAAAGAGUGGAUGGCCUUAAACAGCAAUGAGUCAGAGCUGGGGAGUGCUUCUCAAACAGUUUGGGGUGAGACUUGGUCCUCCUCUGUGUUCUCCAGAGAAAGCUGUGGAUCCA
rnacentral:lncRNA from 1 species